UACAGAGGUCUCAAGCGUUGUUCGGAUUCAUUGGGCGUAAGGGUGUGUAGGUGGCGCGCUAAGUCGGGUGUGAAAUUUCGGAGCUUAACUCCGAAACUGCAUUCGAUACUGCCGUGCUUGAGGACUGGAGAGGAGACUGGAAUUCACGGUGUAGCAGUGAAAUGCGUAGAGAUCGUGAGGAAGACCAGUGGCGAAGGCGGGUCUCUGGACAGUUCCUGACACUGAGGCACGAAGGCCAGGGGAGCAAACGGG
rnacentral:rRNA from 1 species